GGAGCGCUACUCCAUUUCAAUAGCCAUCCGGACCAGAAAAAAGGAGGAAAAUAUUUGCCGCCGGCCGGCGGUGCGGCAGUGUGGAGACCUGCCGUAAUCCUGUCAGGGUUUCGCUCUCUGGCAGGGAGGUACGUGAGCAGAGGCGAGCGUACUACGGCCUGAGCCCAUG
rnacentral:ncRNA from 1 species